GAUGAACGCUGGCGGCGUGCCUAAUACAUGCAAGUCGAGCGAACGGACGAGAAGCUUGCUUCUCUGAUGUUAGCGGCGGACGGGUGAGUAACACGUGGAUAACCUACCUAUAAGACUGGGAUAACUUCGGGAAACCGUAGCUAAUACCGGAUAAUAUUUUGAACCGCAUGGUUCAAAAGUGAAAGACGGUCUUGCUGUCACUUAUAGAUGGAUCCGCGCUGCAUUAGCUAGUUGGUAAGGUAACGGCUUACCAAGGCAACGAUGCAUAGCCGACCUGAGAGGGUGAUCGGCCACACUGGAACUGAGACACGGUUCAGACUCCUACGGGAGGCAGCAGUAGGGAAUCUUCCGCAAUGGGCGAAAGCCUGACGGAGCAACGCCGCGUGAGUGAUGAAGGUCUUCGGAUCGUAAAACUCUGUUAUUAGGGAAGAACAUAUGUGUAAGUAACUGUGCACAUCUUGACGGUACCUAAUCAGAAAGCCACGGCUAACUACGUG
rnacentral:rRNA from 1 species